UACGGAGGGGACUAGCGUUGUUCGGAAUUACUGGGCGUAAAGCGCACGUAGGCGGAUUUGUAAGUCAGGGGUGAAAUCCCGGGGCUCAACCUCGGAACUGCCUUUGAUACUGCAAAUCUCGAGUCCGGAAGAGGUGAGUGGAAUUCCUAGUGUAGAGGUGAAAUCCGUAGAUAUUAGGAAGAACACCAGUGGCGAAGGCGGCUCACUGGUCCGGUACUGACGCUGAGGUGCGAAAGCGUGGGGAGCAAACAGG
rnacentral:rRNA from 1 species